AGGAGUGUAAAGUAAAACAAAUACAUGUAUUUAUUAAAUUUUAUUGUUUGGGUAAUUUUGAGCGGAACAAAUGGAAAUCAUCGGGUGCAUUAACCGUGUAUUUUGAGAGCAAAACUGCGUGAAUUAGAAACCCGCUCAUAUUGAGCGGGUUAUAAAUUCAUCGGAAGAAAAGCUUCGAUCUCGUUCUCGUCGUGCUGUUCGGCUUCAUUGCGCGAUAGUCUUCUUCGACUCCUUCAUUCUUGUUCGACUUCGCUCUGGCAAGCAACUCUGGAGAGAGUUCGCUCCGGCAAGUAGCUCCACUCCGUCGCCCUCAAGUCCGGCCUUCUCCGCUCCAACCUCUUUGUCAGCAACGCCCUCAUCCCUCCAACUUCUUCUUCGGCUCCGCUCCAACGAUCUUCUCCGGAAUGCCACAUCGUCGUCGAUCACCCGAGCAUUAGCCGAAUCCAUCUCGAGGUUCGCCCAAAUUCUUCAUCGCAGAAACUUUUCGUAACAGAUCGCUCUUCAGUUCACGGGACUUGGGUUUCAGGUAAGAAGAUCCAACCUAACAUGCAUGUUGAAUUGAUCGAAGGAGAUACUAUUAGACUUGGGGCUUCGACGAGGAUUUACUGCCUCCAUUGGAUGCCAUUGAGCCAUGUCUUUGAGAUGGAGAAGCCGAUGUCACCAUUGAUGGAAGAGGCUUCAGAUUUCAUAAAUAAUGAUGAAGCUCUUCUGGAUGAGAGUUUCAAUGAAGACUGGGUUAGCAAUAUAAUACCUUCUGCGCCUCCUUUGAGGAUUUCAUCUCCUGGGAAGCUCUUUUCUCAGGAUUUGGAAAAAAAAGGCGAGAUCUUAAUAGGAAAAGAGACGUUUGGACAGAGCUCAUGCUUUUCUUCUAUUGUUCUCUUAGCUGAAGGUAAUGUAAAAGAAUAGGAAGAAGAGUUCUCUGUUUUAGCACUAUUAAUUAAGAAAAAUUUUGAGUAAGGUUAGAAUGAUUUUAUUCUCGAUGGAUGUAAUCAUUGGAUUAUAAAACUCAUCUUUUAUCUAAUUUGGUUCAGGACAUUCUAAAAUUU